CGGAGUGUGGGAAAGUAGGUAAUCCGUCUGGUUUGGGACCAGAAGAGCGCAGGUUCGAGACCUGCCACUCCGACCA
rnacentral:tRNA from 1 species